rnacentral:rRNA from 1 species
UAAAGGGUGCGUAGGUGGUCAUUUAAGUCUGAUUUGAAAGCAAGCGGCUAACCGUUUGAUGUGGUUGGAAACUGAAUGACUUGAAUGGGUUGGCGGUAGCCGGAAUGGGUCAUGUAGCGGUGAAAUGCAUAGAUAUGACCCGGAACACCGAUUGCGAAGGCAGGCUACUACGACUUGAUUGACACUGAGGCACGAGAGCAUGGGUAGCGAACAGGAUUAGAUACCCCUGU